rnacentral:rRNA from 1 species
AGAGUUUGAUCAUGGCUCAGAGUGAACGUUGGCGGCGUGGAUUAGGCAUGCAAGUCGAGCGAUCGUAGCAAUACGGGAGCGGCAAACGGGGUAGGAAUACAUCGGAACGUACCUUUUGGUUGAGAAUAGCGUUGGGAAACUGACGGUAAUACUCAAUAAAGUCGAGAGACCAAAGGUUUACUGCCGGAAGAGCAGCCGAUGCGAUAUUAGGUAGUUGGUGGGGUAAUGGCCUACCAAGCCUGAGAUGUCUAGGGGGUGUGAGAGCAUGGCCCCCACCACUGGGACUGAGAUACUGCCCAGACACCUACGGGUGGCUGCAGUCGAGGAUCUUCGUCAAUGGGCGAAAGCCUGAACGAGCGACGCCGCGUGCGGGAUGAAGGCCCUUGGGUUGUAAACCGCUGUCAGGGGGGGUGAAACCGUAAGGUUGACAGAGCCCCAGAGGAAGCACGGGCUAAGUUCGUG